AUUGAACGCUGGCGGCAGGCCUAACACAUGCAAGUCGAACGAGUGGCGGACGGGUGAGUAAUGUCUGGGAAACUGCCUGAUGGAGGGGGAUAACUACUGGAAACGGUAGCUAAUACCGCAUACCAUCAGAUGUGCCCAGAUGGGAUUAGCUAGUUGGUGGGGUAAAGGCUCACCAAGGCGACGAUCCCUAGCUGGUCUGAGAGGAUGACCAGCCACACUGAAAUGGAGACACGGUCCAGUCUCCGACGGGAGGCAGCAGUGGGGAAUAUUGCACAAGGGGCGCAAGCUUGAUGCAGCCAUGCCGCGUGUAUGAAGAAGUGCUUCGGGUUGGAAAGUACUUUCAGCGGGGAAGCGUUACUCGCAGAAGAAGCACCGGCUAACUCCGUGCCAGCAGCCGCGGUAAUAC
rnacentral:rRNA from 1 species